AUAAGAAGAUAUUUGUAUUACGUAGAUACAUUCCGUCUCUGUAAUAUGACUAUUUCAGACCACUUUCUUAUCAUUAUAUCAAAUGUGUCAUUGCAUUUGUAUUUUAAUUUGGAGCUUAAAAUAUACUCAGUAUACACAGAUUGCUUCUGCCCAUAUUAUCUCUAGAACUGCUUUAUCUUCACGAAUGGCAUUGGCAUAGGUUACACUAAUACAGUAUAUGCCUCAAUAUGAAAUCCUUUAACCAUUCCGUUCAAAGAUAAAAUGCAGUACAGCUUAGCAUUACGAUAGGCACUUUGCAUAGAACUUUGCAGAGAAUUGUAUG